rnacentral:tRNA from 1 species
UGUAAAGUCGACUAAAGGUAAGUCUUUAGGCUCAUGACCUAACAAUAAAAGUUCGAUUCUUUUCUUUACAU